ensembl:lncRNA
CCUGGAGAGAGACCCUCCUGUAGGUUUUAACUCCAACCCUGUUCCUGGAGAGAGACCCUCCUGUAGGUUUUAACUCCAACCCUGUUCCUGGAGAGAGACCCUCCUGUAGGUUUUAACUCCAACCCUGUUCCUGGAGAGAGACCCUCCUGUAGGUAACUCCAACCCUGUUCCUGGAGAGAGACCCUCCUGUAGGUAACUCCAACCCUGUUCCUGGAGAGAGACCCUCCUGUAGGUAACUCCAAACCUGUUCCUGGAGAGAGACCCUCCUGUAGGUAACUCCAACCCUGUUCCUACCUACAAGUAAUGUAUUGUCCUGUUUUUAUCUCUUCUAUACCAGCAAUCUCAAGCGCUAUCUUUUUCUGCUCUCUCUCAUUCUCUCUCUCUCUCUCUCUCUCAUUCUCUCUAUCUCUCCCCACCUCUCUCUCUCAUUCUCUCUCUCUCUCCCCACCUCUCUCUCUCUCAUUCUCUCUCUCUCUCUCCCCCACCUCUCUC